AGAUGGAGGAGAGGCUCGUCGGCAUCUCCGAGGAGAGCACCACCGGUGUCAAGCAGAUGCAGGAGUCCGACACUCUCCUGUUCCACGCCAUCAACGUCACCAAGAGCAAGGUUGCUUUGAUCUGUACAAGCUGCUGCUGCUGCAGGUGGACAAGGAAGCCCUCAUGGCUGCUGCUGCACUACAGUCUGCUUUUCAUUUUUUGAACAAGAUGUAUUAAUGUUAAGUUGACAUUACUGUUGCCUUGAGCUACAUACACUUACUAACAUA